rnacentral:SRP_RNA from 1 species
GCCGGGCAUGGUAGCGUGUGCCUGUAAUCCUGGCUACUUGGGAGGCUGAGGCAGGGGAAUUGCUUGAACCCAGGAGGCGGAGGUUGCAGUGAGCUGAGAUUGCGCCACUGCACUCCAGCCUGGGUGACAGAGCAAGACUCUGUCUCAA